CCUACGGGAGGCAGCAGUGGGGAAUAUUGUACAAUGGGGGAAACCCUGAUGCAGCGACGCCGCGUGAGUGAAGAAGUAAUUCGUUAUGUAAAGCUCUAUCAGCAGGGAAGAAAAUGACGGUACCUGUCGAAUAAGCCACGGCUAACUACGUGCCAGUAGCCGCGGUAAUACGUAGGUGACAAGCGUUGUCCGGAUUUACUGGGUGUAAAGGGCGUGUAGCCGGGCUGACAAGUCAGAUGUGAAAUCCGGGGGCUCAACCCCCGAACUGCAUUUGAAACUGUUGGUCUUGAGUAUCGGAGAGGCAGGCGGAAUUCCUAGUGUAGCGGUGAAAUGCGUAGAUAUUAGGAGGAACACCGGUGGCGAAGGCGGCCUGCUGGACUGCGACUGACGUUGAGGCCCGAAAGCGUGGGGAGCAAACAGGAUUAGAUACCCGUGUAGUC
rnacentral:rRNA from 1 species